GGACAAUGUUAGGUCACCUACCAACUCCUCAUUUUAGAGAUUCAGAGCACCAAGGUUUGGGAAGACAGCAAGACCUGAGGUGCCCUUGUGAAACACAACUUCAUAUUAGCAGACGUGCCCCCAGGCUCCUAUCUGCUCAGGAGUGGCAUCGGAAUACUCAACCCGUAGUCACCCCCUUGUUCGAAGUGCUGGGAAACACCAGGGUGCCCAUGGAACCGCCUCGGUGUGUCCACUGCCACAGCUGAACUAACCAACCAGCACAAAGAUAAGACCACACAGCUGUCCAUCCCUGUGAGGAGAGGCCUGGGGACUCCGUGUUUUCUGUGAAGACUUGACAGCUAUACACCGUUGUGAAACAGCUCUCGAGCCCCAGCGCCGACUUUCUGACCAAUACUCCAGCAACUCACACCAAAGAGGUGUGGAGGGGCAAACAUUUACAGUGGGGGAAUAAAUGCUUGCCUUUCAGGCAUGUUAUCUACAUAAAAUUUGCUUUUAAAGUGU